rnacentral:rRNA from 1 species
AUUUUUUGAAUAACAGUAGGUAGUAAUUUAUAUGUCCCAAACUUAUUCUAUUUGGCGGUUUACUAACCUCACAUAGGAAUUUGCCAAUUUUAAUUGAUAGCCCGCCUUUAUAAUAACCAUUUUUAAUUUUAUGUACGGCUGUUUAGUUUUAAUAUAACAAUUAUUUCCUAAAAAAUAAAAAAUUCUAAAUUCAAGUCAAUGUGUAAAGUAUAAAAUGGUUUUUGGUGAAUUACUGUAAUAGUCAAAAUUCUUUAAAUAGUUAAUUAAUACGGAUAUGUUAGUAAAAUAAAAAUAAAAUUCUUAUUUGAUAAAGGACCUAGUAAAAGUACA